UGGUUUACUCAGGACAUAUAGUUUCAAAUAUUUUGGCUACUUUUAUUUUUUUACUUCAAACUCCUUUAGAGAAAGAAAUAGAAAUAUCAAUUGUGAUUUUACCCCUACUUAUUGAAAUCCAAGCCACCAUUUACCCCUAUUUUUGACUCCGUUAGUUAGAGCUGGAUUAAACAUUUUUUAAAAAACAAACCUUCAAAGUAAUGGGAAUAUACAAAACUACCCCUUAUCCACACAUACAGUAUACUUGAUAGUUGAUACACCGCCC
rnacentral:lncRNA from 1 species